rnacentral:rRNA from 1 species
GAUGAACGCUAGCGACAGGCUUAACACAUGCAAGUCGAGGGGUAACAGGGGAGCUUGCUUCUGCUGACGACCGGCGCACGGGUGAGUAACGCGUAUGCAACCUACCCAUAUUUGGGGGAUAACCCGGAGAAAUUCGGAUUAACACCGCAUAAUAUCAUUGAAUGGCAUCAUUUGAUGAUUAAAUAUUUAUAGAAUAUGGAUGGGCAUGCGUCUGAUUAGUUAGUUGGUGAGGUAACGGCUCACCAAGACAACGAUCAGUAGGGGUUCUGAGAGGAAGGUCCCCCACACUGGUACUGAGACACGGACCAGACUCCUACGGGAGGCAGCAGUGAGGAAUAUUGGUCAAUGGGCGAGAGCCUGAACCAGCCAAGUCGCGUGAAGGAAGACUGCCCUAUGGGUUGUAAACUUCUUUUGUAAGGGAAUAAAAAGCUUUACGUGUAGAGCCUUGUAGGUACCUUACGAAUAAGCUCCGGCUAACUCCGUGCCAGCCGCCGCGGUAAAAC